rnacentral:rRNA from 1 species
GAUGAACGCUAGCGGCAGGCCUAAUACAUGCAAGUCGAACGAUAGAAGAGGGCUUGCUCUCUUCGAAAGUGGCGCACGGGUGCGUAACGCGUAUGCAACCUACCUUAAUCAGGGGGAUAGCCCGAAGAAAUUCGGAUUAACACCGCAUAAAAUCACAGUACAACAUUGUACAAUGAUCAAAUAUUUAUAGGAUUAAGAUGGGCAUGCGUGACAUUAGCUAGUUGGCGGGGUAACGGCCUACCAAGGCGACGAUGUCUAGGGGAUCUGAGAGGAUGACCCCCCACACUGAGACUGAGACGCCGAUCAGACUACUACGGGAGGCAGCAGUAGGGAAUAUUGGUGAAUGGAGGCAACUCUAAACCAUCCAUGCCGCGUGCAGGAAGACGGCCCUCUGGGUUGUAAACUGCUUUUAUUCGGGAAUAAACCUCAUUAUGUAUAGUGAGCUGAAUGUACCGAAGGAAUAAGGAUCGGCUAACUACGUGCCAGCCGCCGCAGUAA